rnacentral:rRNA from 1 species
CAAUAGCGUAUAUUAAAGUUGUUGCAGUUAAAAAGCUCGUAGUUGGAUUUCGGGGCAGCCUGGCUGGUCCGCCGCAAGGCGAGUACUGGUCAGCCGCCCUUCCUCUCGAAAGCCCCGACUGCUCUUCGUUGCAGUGGUCGGGUGGUUCGGGACGUUUACUUUGAAAAAAUUAGAGUGUUCAAGGCAGGCCUACGCCUGAAUACAUUAGCAUGGAAUAAUGGAAGAGGACCUCGGUCCUAUUUUGUUGGUUUCCAGGGCCGAAGUAAUGAUUAAGAGGGACAGUUGGGGGCAUUCGUAUUUAAUUGUCAGAGGUGAAAUUCUCGGAUUUAUGAAAGACGAACAACUGCGAAAGCAUUUGCCAAGGAUGUUUUCAUUAA